rnacentral:rRNA from 1 species
UUGAUCCUGGCUCGCAUCGACGUUAACGGCAGGCCUAACACAUGCAAGUCGAGCGAAGACUUCGGUCUUAGCGGCGGACGGGUGAGUAACGCGUGGGAACGUGCCCUUCACUGCGGAAUAGCCCAGGGAAACUUGGAGGAAUAGCGCAUACGCCCUUCGGGGGAAAGAAUUUCGGUGAGGGAUCGGCCCGCGUCUGAUUAGGUAGUUGGUGGGGUAAACGGCCUACCAAGCCGACGAUCAGUAGCUGGGUUUGAGAGGAUGAUCAGNCACACUGGGACUGAGACACGGCCCAGACUCCUACGGGAGGCAGCAGUGGGGAAUCUUAGACAAUGGGGGAAACCCUGAUCUAGCCAUGCCGCGUGAGUGACGAAGGCCCUAAGGUCGUAAAGCUCUUUCGCCAGGGAUGAUAAUGACAGUACCUGGUAAAGAAACCCCGGCUAACUCCGUGCCAGCAGCCGCGGUAAUACGGAGGGGGUAAGCGUUGUUCGGAAUUACUGGGCGUAAAGCGCGCGUAGGCGGGCUGUUAAGUCGGGGGUAGAAAUCCCGGGGCUCAACCCCGGAACUGCCUCCGAUACUGGCAGCCUAGAGUUCGCGAGAGGUGAGUGGAAUUCCGAGUGUAGAGGUGAAAUUCGAAGAUAUACGGAGGGACACCAGUGGCGAAGG